GAUGAACGCUGGCGGCGUGCCUAAUACAUGCAAGUCGAGCGAACGGACGAGAAGCUUGCUUCUCUGAUGUUAGCGGCGGACGGGUGAGUAACACGUGGAUAACCUACCUAUAAGACUGGGAUAACUUCGGGAAACCGUAGCUAAUACCGGAUAAUAUUUUGAACCGCAUGGUUCAAAAGUGAAAGACGGUCUUGCUGUCACUUAUAGAUGGAUCCGCGCUGCAUUAGCUAGUUGGUAAGGUAACGGCCUACCAAGGCAACGAUGCAUAGCCGACCUGAGAGGGUGAUCGGCCGCCCUGGAGCUUAGCCGCCGUCCAGGCUCCUGCGGUAGGCCGCAGUAGGGAAUCUUCCGCAGUGGGCGAGAGCCUUACGCAGCAACGCCGCGUGAGUGAUGACGGUCUUCGGAUCGUAAUACUCUGUUAUUAGGGAAGAACAUAUUUGUAAUUUACUGUGCACAGCUUGACGGUACCUAAUCAGAAAGCCACGGCUAACUACGUG
rnacentral:rRNA from 1 species